CUGCGCCACGAGUGGCAAUCGCGUUUAUUGGGCCUAAAGCGUUCGUAGCCGGAUAGGUAAGUCUUGAGUGAAAUCGUUGCGCUUAACAAAACGACGUGCUUGAGAUACUGUUUAUCUUGGGACCGGGAGGAGUCUGGGGUAUUUCUGAGGGAGCGGUAAAAUGCUAUAAUCUCAGGAGGACCACCUGUGGCGAAGGCGCCAGACUAGAACGGGUCCGACGGUGAGGAACGAAAGCUAGGGGAGCAAAACGGAUUAGAUACCCGCGUAGUC
rnacentral:rRNA from 1 species